CCCAUGUUGAAUCCUCCACAUCACCUUUCCAGAGUUGCUGCUGCAGCACACUCCUCUUCAGGGCAUGCCAACCCGAAGUUAGAAUUAGAGAGAGUUGGAAGGGACCCCGAGGGUCAUCUAGUCCAGCCACCCUGCAAUGCAGGAAUAUAUGCAGCUGUCCCAUACAGGGGAUCGCAGAAAGCAUGCACUAUGGAAAGGAAAUAUCAGCCAUGCCUUAUCUUGAAGAUGCUGUAGAGAACAUACUCUAUCUUUGACUCACCACUGGCACCCCAGAAUGCUACUAGAAGUAGCAGCAGCCACCAGACUCCUGCAGAUCAACAAGACAUUUCUAACCCUCUGCAUGCACCUUGCCAACACUCUGCAGUGAAUGAAGUUCAUUUGGCAAAAGACAACAUCCCGUCGGUACUGAAGGCUCAAGCAAAGAGCUAUUGUUGGGGCACUAUCUUGCAUCAAGAGAAAGACCAUCGCUUUCUUUGCCUUGUCACUCAUCAUGGCUACGCAGUCUGUGAGUGUUGUCAGCAAUGGGUAAAGGGCCUCACUCCAUUCACCUGCAGUUUUCAAAA